rnacentral:rRNA from 1 species
GAUAAACGCUGACAGAAUGCUUAACACAUGCAAGUCGAUGAUGGGAGCUAGCUUGCUAGAAGAAGUCAUGGCGGACGGGCGAGUAACGUGUAAAGAACUUACCAUAUAGACUGGGAUAACAGAGGGAAACUUCUGAUAAUACUGGAUAAGUUAGUAGUAGCAUUACUAAGUAAUGAAAGGUAGCAAUACGCUAUAUGAGAGCUUUGCAUCCUAUUAGCUAGUUGGUGGGGUAAAAGCCUACCAAGGCGAUGAUAGGUAGCCGGCCUGAGAGGGUGGACAGCCACAAGGGGACUGAGAUACGGCCCUUACUCCUACGGGAGGCAGCAGUGGGGAAUAUUGGACAAUGGAGGCAACUCUGAUCCAGCAAUUCUGUGUGUGUGAAGAAGGUUUUAGGACUGUAAAACACUUUUAGUAGGGAAGAAAGAAAUGACGGUACCUACAGAAGAAGCGACGGCUAAAUACGUG